GGAAGUAAAGGUCGUAACAAGGUUUCCGUAGGUGAACCUGCGGAAGGAUCAUUCAUAAUAAAGUGUUUUAUGGCACUUUUUAAAAAUCCAUAUCCACCUUGUGCGCAAUGUUAGAUCUCGUCAAUCUUGGCGAGAUUUUUAUACAUCAACUCAUUCUUUAACUAAUUUGUCUGAAAAAUAUUAUGAAUACUUAAUUCAAAAUACAACUUUCAACAACGGAUCUCUUGGCUCUC
rnacentral:misc_RNA from 1 species